AGCGUUAUAUGGAUAUGAGCCUCAUCAUAAUGAAGCGCUUUCAGUCCAUGCACUGAGAGUUUGCGCAUCAUGUCAUUUACAAGAUGUUACUGCUUGUUAGCCACUAUAUGCAGUUAACUGUAUCAGUAACAAGAUGUUAACUUGUUUUUUUGAAACUAAAUUCCAUCUUAUUUGAUGCUGCAUGAUUUGCAUCGUUGGGCAUUGCAAUUUUUUCCCCCCUCUAAAUGAUCCUAAACAUUGAC
rnacentral:misc_RNA from 1 species